rnacentral:rRNA from 1 species
AGAGUUUGAUCCUGGCUCAGAUUGAACGCUGGCGGAAUGCUUUACACAUGCAAGUCGAGCGGCAGCGCGGGGCAACCUGGCGGCGAGCGGCGAACGGGUGAGUAAUGCAUCGGAACGUACCCAUUUGUGGGGGAUAACUAUCCGGAAGGAUGGCUAAUACCGCAUAAGUCCUGAGGGAGAAAGCGGGGGAUCGCAAGACCUCGCGCGAAUGGAGCGGCCGAUGCCGGAUAGCUAGUUGGUAGGGUAAAGGCCUACCAAGGCGACGAUCCGUAGCUGGUCUGAGAGGAUGAUCAGCCACACUGGAACUGAGACACGGUCCAGACUCCUACGGGAGGCAGCAGUGGGGAAUUUUGGACAAUGGGGGCAACCCUGAUCCAGCCAUUCCGCGUGAGUGAAGAAGGCCUUCGGGUUGUAAAGCUCUUUCGGCAGGAACGAAACGGUUUGGGUUAAUACCCUGAGCUAAUGACGGUACCUGAAGAAGAAGCACCGGCUAACUACGUGCCAGCAGCCGCGGUAAUACGUAGGGUGCGAGCGUUAAUCGGAAUUACUGGGCGUAAAGCGUGCGCAGGCGGUUAUGUAAGACAGAUGUGAAAUCCCCGGGCUUAACCUGGGAACUGCGUUUGUGACUGCAUAACUUGAGUGUGGCAGAGGGGGGUGGAAUUCCACGUGUAGCAGUGAAAUGCGUAGAGAUGUGGAGGAACACCGAUGGCGAAGGCAGCCCCCUGGGUCAACACUGACGCUCAUGCACGAAAGCGUGGGUAGCAAACAGGAUUAGAUACCCUGGUAGUCCACGCCCUAAACGAUGCCAACUAGGUGUUGGGGAAGGAGACUUCCUUAGUACCGUAGCUAACGCGUGAAGUUGGCCGCCUGGGGAGUACGGUCGCAAGAUUAAAACUCAAAGGAAUUGACGGGGACCCGCACAAGCGGUGGAUGAUGUGGAUUAAUUCGAUGCAACGCGAAAAACCUUACCUACCCUUGACAUGCCAGGAACUUGGUAGAGAUACCUUGGUGCCCGAAAGGGAGCCUGGACACAGGUGCUGCAUGGCUGUCGUCAGCUCGUGUCGUGAGAUGUUGGGUUAAGUCCCGCAACGAGCGCAACCCUUGUCCUUAGUUGCCAUCAUUUAGUUGGGCACUCUAAUGAGACUGCCGGUGACAAACCGGAGGAAGGUGGGGAUGACGUCAAGUCCUCAUGGCCCUUAUGGGUAGGGCUUCACACGUCAUACAAUGGUCGGUACAGAGGGUUGCCAAGCCGCGAGGUGGAGCCAAUCCCAGAAAGCCGAUCGUAGUCCGGAUCGGAGUCUGCAACUCGACUCCGUGAAGUCGGAAUCGCUAGUAAUCGUGGAUCAGCAUGCCACGGUGAAUACGUUCCCGGGUCUUGUACACACCGCCCGUCACACCAUGGGAGUGGGUUUCACCAGAAGUAGGUAGCCUAACCGCAAGGGGGGCGCUUACCACGGUGGGAUUCAUGACUGGGGUGAAGUC